rnacentral:rRNA from 1 species
UACGUAGGGGGCAAGCGUUGGCCGGAAUCAUUGGGCGUAAAGCGCGUGUAGGCGGUUCGGUAAGUCUGCUGUGAAAGUCCAGGGCUCAACCCUGGGAUGCCGGUGGAUACUGUCGGACUAGAGUACGGAAGAGGCGAGUGGAAUUCCCGGUGUAGCGGUGAAAUGCGCAGAUAUCGGGAGGAACACCAAUUGCGAAGGCAGCUCGCUGGGACGUUACUGACGCUGAGACGCGAAAGCGUGGGGAGCAAACAGG